GAGGAAUAUUGGUCAAUGGGUGCAAGCCUGAACCAGCCAUGCCGCGUGAAGGAUGAAGGUCCUAUGGAUUGUAAACUUCUUUUGUACGGGAAAAAACCCCUGGACGUGUCCGGGGCUGAUUGUACCGUAAGAAUAAGGAUCGGCUAACUCCGUGCCAGCAGCCGCGGUAAUACGGAGGAUCCAAGCGUUAUCCGGAUUCACUGGGUUUAAAGGGUGUGUAGGCGGAGUAUUAAGUCAGUGGUGAAAUCCUACAGCUUAACUGUAGAACUGCCAUUGAAACUGAUAUUCUUGAAUGUAGUUGAGGUAAGCGGAAUGUGUGGUGUAGCGGUGAAAUGCUUAGAUAUCACACAGAACACCGAUUGCGAAGGCAGCUUGCUAAGCUAUGAUUGACGCUGAGACACGAAAGCGUGGGGAUCAAAC
rnacentral:rRNA from 1 species